rnacentral:rRNA from 1 species
UACGUAGGUGGCAAGCGUUGUCCGGAUUUACUGGGUGUAAAGGGCGUGUAGGCGGGAGAGCAAGUCAGAAGUGAAAUCCGUGGGCUUAACCCAUGAACUGCUUUUGAAACUGUUCUUCUUGAGUAUCGGAGAGGCAGGCGGAAUUCCUAGUGUAGCGGUGAAAUGCGUAGAUAUUAGGAGGAACACCAGUGGCGAAGGCGGCCUGCUGGACGACAACUGACGCUGAGGCGCGAAAGCGUGGGGAGCAAACAGG